AUCCAGAUGACGAGUCCCUAAUAGGACUUAAUGCGCAUCCUGGAU
rnacentral:hammerhead_ribozyme from 1 species